rnacentral:rRNA from 1 species
AUUGAACGCUGGCGGCAGGCCUAACACAUGCAAGUCGAGCGGAGCGGCGGACGGGCGAGUAAUGACUAGGUAUCUGCCCGGCCGUUGGGGAUAAGGUCCGGAAACGGGCCCUAAUACCACAUCCUAGCAGAUGAGCCUAGUUCGGAUUAGCUAGUUGGUGGGGUAAAGGCCUACCAAGGCGACGAUCCGUAACUGGUCUGAGAGGAUGAUCAGUCAAACUGUAACUGAGACACGGUCCAGACUCCUACGGUAGGCAGCAGUGGGGAAUCUGGGGCAAUGGGCGAAAGCCUGAUGCAGCCAGGCCGCGUGUGUGAAGAAGGUCUUCGGAUUGUAAAGCACUUUAAGUUGGGAGGCGGUACCAACAGAAUAAGCACCGGCUAACUACGUGCCAGCCGCCGCGGUAAUUC